rnacentral:rRNA from 1 species
UACAGAGGUCCCAAGCGUUGUUCGGAUUCACUGGGCGUAAAGGGUGCGUAGGCGGUCGGGUAAGUCCGAUGUGAAAUCUCCUGGCUUAACUGGGAGGGUGCGCCGGAAACUGGAGUGCGUUGAGCGUGGGAGAGGAAAGCGGAAGUUCCUGGUGUAGCGGUGAAAUGCGUAGAUAUCGGGAGGAACACCUAUGGCGAAGGCAGCUCGCUGGGACGUUACUGACGCUGAGACGCGAAAGCGUGGGGAGCAAACAGG